CGUAUAUUAAAGUUGUUGCAGUUAAAAAGCUCGUAGUUGGAUUUGUGGUUGUCGUUGUCUUUUUCCUCUCUUUGAGGGGUAUUGGAUUAGCGUCGCCAUCCUUGGGUGGAAGUUGUGUGGCAUUAGGUUGUCGUGCAGUGGAUGCCCAUCGUUUACUGUGAAAAAAUUAGAGUGUUCAAAGCAGGCUUAUGCCGUUGAAUAUAUUAGCAUGGAAUAAUAAGAUAGGACCUUGGUACUAUUUUGUUGGUUUGCGCACUGAGGUAAUGAUUAAUAGGGUCAGUUGGGGG
rnacentral:rRNA from 1 species